GAUUAACGCUGGCGGCGUGCAUAACACAUGCAAGUCGAACGAUGAAACUUUAAUGAACCCUUCGGGGAGAAUUAAAGCGGAUUAGUGGCGAACGGGUGAGUAACGCGUGAGUAACCUGCCUUACACAAGGGGAUAGCCUUUGGAAACGAAGAAUAAUACCCUAUAAAACCAUAAAAGCACAUGCAAUUAUGGUCAAAGUGAUAGCGGUGUAAGAUGGACUUGCGUCUGAUUAGCUAGUUGGUGAGAUAAAAGCCCACCAAGGCAACGAUCAGUAGCCGGCUUGAGAGAGUGUACGGCCACAUUGGGACUGAGACACGGCCCAGACUCCUACGGGAGGCAGCAGUGGGGAAUUUUGCACAAUGGGGGAAACCCUGAUGCAGCGACGCCGCGUGAUUUAGAAGGCCUUCGGGUUGUAAAAAUCUUUUGUAUAGGAAGAAAAUGACAGUACCAUACGAAUAAGGUCCGGCUAAUUACGUG
rnacentral:rRNA from 1 species